UAAUGAUCCUAUUUUGAUUGCCGACCUUGAUUGUGGUAACAAGUUAGAAUACGUUCGAUCUCGAUUCGUCCUGUUAGUCUCUUCAAAGUCAUCCGUGGCACUGUAUUGAAAAGUCUUUAGUCAAAGUCGAGCGUCGGAAUGGGUAAGACGUGUAUAGACGUUACUAAGAUGACCAACUGGCGUGUGCUGUGGUACGAGAAAGCCUGCUCGGAGAUGGUGACGAGAGAGCGAGCGAGCGAAGGAGAGCGAGCAAGCAAGAGAGAGAAAGAAAGUAAGCGCGAGGAAGACCCGAAGGAGAUGGAAGAAGAAGAAGAGGAAGAAGAAGAAGAAGAAGAAGAAGAAGAGGAGGAGGAGGAGGAGGAGGGGGAGGAGGAAGAAGUGGAAGUAGACGUAGGAUAGGAAUGAUUCUAAUAAAGCAGUCGAAUAUCCAACAAGCGGUCGUUUCAAUUAAAUGGCCCCAUGGGUGCCAGUGGCGUGCAGCACCCUACGACCGGGACGUGAUUAAAAGUGACGUUGAACCGUAGCUACCGAAGCCACGGGGGGCUGAUUGUCGGGGGGUUGCGCGUAGCUUUUUCCUUCUCCCACGUGUUUAGGCUAAUUUUCUCAUGUCGAGGCUCUUCUCUUGGAGAAGGUGAAAGGAGAGGUUCACGCUCGAUUUAUUCUCGAGAACAGCGAGAAACUACGAAAGACGAAGGACGAUCGGAACAAAGUACAAAGCACGGAGAGCGAUCGUCGAUAAAGAACGUUGCUUGGUCAGCCUGAAUAUGUGUAGGUACGCGCGCGGGCGCACGCUCGAGAGAGAGAGAGAGAGAGAGAGAGAGAGCGCACUGAUAUCCGCUUAUCUGGUACGUAACUCGUGUACGUAACGGUAUCGCGUACUUUUAAAUCAGUCGCACGAGGGUGAAAAUACUGCGUCGUCGGUGUUAAACGAGCACCGUUCUUCCUCUGAAAGUUAAUUCACGCUCUUUUAAAAAUCCAUAUAUUUUUCUUUGGUAUAAAACGGACGAUUAGACGAUCUAGUUUUCUCGUAGGGAAAAAGACAUCGAACGCAACUGGGGAAUGUUUUACCGUAGAGAAUUAUGGCGCGAUACGUUUAAACGUGCGUCGCGAGUCAUGUAAUAUAUUUUUUAUCGAGGCACGCACGCGGCCUUUUUUCGUUAUCGCGCCUUAUGUCGUACCGCUCCGACCUAAAUGCAUUCGCAAUUUUUCUUCUUCCUUCUUUCCUGUUACGGCGAAGAAGAAGGAGGAGGGUUAAGGAAAGUCCGGCUGCGUUACGAUUCGACGAUACGCACUUAAAAACGGACGAGGUAUGCCGAUAAAGACGACAUUUGUCAAGUCGCACGACCAAGGCAGAUUUUAUUCAUUUAGCGCACGCUCUAUCGCCCGCAUUAAUUUGGAUUUUAUUUUUUAAUAACAAUCAUUAAUUGCAAGCUGCGUGCGAGCUGCAUUUACGAGAAGCGACUAUCUCGGGGUAACAUCGAAAGAAACGUCACUCGUUCGAUUGUCGUAAUUAAAUGCCGCUAAUAAAUUUGUAUUCGUAGAAUGUAUAAACUAUAUAUGAAAUUACCGCAAUGCGUAAGUCGCGUUUACGUGGCACGUGGUAAUAUCUCCAUGUAUGAAUUAAAUAUACAACUUAAAGCGUACCUAAUAGUAAUAUAUAUGUAGAUCGCGAAGCGAUGCCUUCUUUAAUUCCCCCAAGCGGUAUCUGCCGUUUAAAGAAGAACCUCUUAAUCUCGAAAUUGGUCGCAUGGUUUCUCGUUGGCCAUCGCGAUGAGAGGUAAAGUAAUAAUCAGAAUUCGUGCGAGGCCAAUGCGUAUUGCGUGUGACGACGAAUCGGUGCUCGAUGCGUGCGUGGGCGUCCCUUUUCGUCCUUUCCCUUUCUCUCUCCUCCCCCCUCUCUCUCUCUCUCUCUCUCUUGGCGUCUCCUUGACAAGCGGGUGUUUAAUUGGCGUUGAAACCACUGGUGUGACGGGAACAUCGUACCGUGGCGUCGCCCGAAUGCCUGAAUCCUUUGCAGUCGAAGCUAGCAAGCAAGUCUAGAGAAUCCGCCAUCGCUGCUCCGCUGCUGGGGAACCUGGUAAUUACCUACUCGUGGCACGCAACUACACUUAUACUCCUCCUCGUCGUCGUCGUCGUCGUCGUCGUCGUCGUCGACAUUGCUCUCUCUCUCCCUCCCUUCCCCUUUCUUCCAUUUUCCUCUUUGCCACGCUCGAGAACGCGAUGCGUAAGAGUAUCCCUUCGUUAAGACCCGAGGGAAAGUUAGCCUUUGAUAAAAAUGCGCCCGUGACUCAUUAAAGAAAAGGCAAGGAGCGUGGAUACGGGAAAAGCCCGAUUAUGACAUUAAGCGAGGUGCAAACGAUUGCACGCUGUCGUGUUUACCUCUUGUUAUUAUUUACCAGAAGACGGUCUUAAUUGAGCGACUACCAAUGAUCCGGCUCCGUGCAUUCUCCUCGGUUGGAAACUUUGCCGUGCGCUACGCGGAUAGAUGGUAUGCGCGCUCGCCAUGCAUAAUACGAGAGUUGUAUGUGUACACCUAAUUAUUCCUGACGACGCAUUAUCAUAAAUCUUAUUGCCAGCACCGGUGUACGCGCGCGCGCGCUCCGCUCUCUCUCUCUCUCUCUCUCUCUCUCUCUCUCUCUCUCUCUCUCUUUCUCUCUCUCUCUCUCUCUUUUAGUUUAACGUACAGACAGCUGCUCGAGCCCGGCUAGACGUAGGAAAAAGAGAAAGAAGCUGAAGACUCCGACAGCCGCUUGCUUACCGCUUGCGUCAAUCUAUUAGGGCCCGCGAUACGCCUUUGAGAUUAUCGUAUUUCGUACCUAUACGGUGGUAUGCCAGGUAAAAUAGAAGCAAGCGAUUUUCUCUUGCGCGGGCUAUCGCAAUGACUUAUCGGAGAGACUUCCACGAUCGUUCGACGCCUCUUGGUAACCAAAAGAAAAUGUUAGAGCCGUUUCGAUUCUUUUCUCUUCUUCUUCUUCUUUUCUUUUCCUUUUCUCUCUUCUAGCUCGUUCGAACGUUAUCAUCUACGCACUCGUAAAACUCACUUUUACAUCCGAGCGAAUGGAUUUAUAGCGUUUGCUUACGUAGUAGCGGUUCUUCGUUGGAGAAAAUCUAACCGAUUACUUUUACUUUCUAUCUGGAAAUAUAACAAAUGAUUGCGUGCUUUAUUAAAGAUUUUCUUGAUACUAUUUUAUAGAUCUAUUUCGAAGAUUUAUAAUAUCGCAAUUAUGAAAACGCGCGUUGUUUUCAUCGGAAUUUCUCUGAUUCGAUUCCGGCCAGUAUUUACAACGUUAAAUGAAAAUGAAAUCGCUCUUUAAUAACCGAUAAAUAUUAAAAUCGAUGGAAAGACGUAUUGUUUCAAGUUAAAUAUAUUAAAGGCCAAAGUGUUUAAUUAUUUAAA